rnacentral:rRNA from 1 species
UACAGAGGGUGCAAGCGUUGUCCGGAAUCACUGGGCGUAAAGGGCGCGUAGGCGGCCUGAUAAGUAGGGGGUGAAAUCUUGCGGCUUAACCGCAAGGCUGCCUUCUAAACUGUCAGGCUAGAGCACAGUAGAGGCAGGUGGAAUUCCCGGUGUAGCGGUGGAAUGCGUAGAGAUCGGGAAGAACAUCAGUGGCGAAAGCGACUUCCUGGACCAAUACUGACGCUCAUGUGCGAAAGCGUGGGGAGCAAACAGG